GGCCCAAUGGUCUAGUAGUAUGAUUCACGCUUCGGGUGUGUGAGGUCCCGGGUUCAAUUCCCGGUUGGGCCC
rnacentral:tRNA from 2 species